ACUAACACACUAAGAUUCCAAUUUGGAUGCCAUGACCAUUUGAGAGCAUCGUUGGAAUAUUUAAAUGGAUCAGAAAUGUUCUCCAACAUUUAUCUAAAUGUUAAAGGGAAUAAUAUGACUUUCUAAGUAUAUGGUUGGAAAACAUAUUUAAUGAUUCGCUUAUGUUUUUCCCGAUAUUUGCUUGGUCGUGUUCAUUUUGUUUCCGAGAGAAAACUAUCAAAUAUUCGAGAAGAUGAUAACGUGACAUCCUCGUGUGCAAAUGUUAUUCCAACAUUUAUUCCGUCGUUGAGAGUGGGAUAACGU
rnacentral:lncRNA from 1 species